UACUCUUUAACCCAGCUCCGAUUCUCUCCAAGGCCCAGACUCAGCAGCUCCUCCUACCCCACUCGGCGUUGCAAUCGGAUUCCUUCGCUGUUCUCUCAAGUAAUCUUCACAUAUCACUUUCUUCCGAUUCCGAAAUGUUGGUUUAUAUUUGAAAAUUUGACUUUGAGAGACUCGAACUGAACUUUGAUUGCAACGAUUGUUUUGUUGAUAUUGCUAGUGUGAUCUGCGUAUAAGAGAUGAUUUUUUCGUAUAAUGUAUGGCUGUUAUCGAAAUUGAACUCUAAAUCCAGAAUAAUGUGAAUUUUAUCUGUUAUUGGACUGGAAUUUGACAGAACACUGUUCGUACUUUGCAAUGACGCUGUUGAUGAUAAGACGCCGUGUGUCUUUUUAAACAGGUUGGGGAAUUUCGAUUUAUUUCCCUAAUUAUGAAUUAUAAAGCUCGGUAAACUAUCAACUUACAGUGCUUGCGGAAACCGUCUAAUUAUCGUCAAAAUUUUACUGGUGCUUCAGACAUGGAUCUUCUCUGUAGUGCAUACUCCGGGGACUCAGACGAUGAACCUGAAACGAAGCCUGAACCAACACCCGAACAUGAAAUCAGUAUGCUCCCUCUUCCAAAGAGGCAGAAACUUGGAUACUCAAAUCACCCAGUGCUUCCCCCGACCUACCAGUGUUCGCAUCUUUUAACUGAAUCUCCGGUUCCUGGGAGAUACAUAUCCAAAAGAGAGAGAGCAUUAUUAGAUUCCUUACCAGCAGCUCCAGGACAGGACCCGAAUCCUUCGGUCGUCAUUCCUCCAG
rnacentral:lncRNA from 1 species